CUAGUCGUGCGCUUCCUAGCCACGAAGGGAGCGCGGCGCACAGCCCAGUAGCACGUGGCUAACCUGCCCUUGGGACGGGAACAACCCCGGGAAACUGGGGCUAAUUCCUGAUAGGUGAAGAACUCUGGAAUGAGUCUUUGCCGAAAGGGCGUUUACGUCAUGCUCGUAGGCGCUGCCCAAGGAUGGGGCCGCGGCCGAUCAGGUUGUUGGUGAGGUAACGGCUCACCAAGCCUAUAACCGGUGCGGGCCGUGAGAGCGGGAGCCCGGAGAUGGGCACUGAGACAAGGGCCCAGGCCCUACGGGGCGCAGCAGUCGCGAAACCUUUGCAAUACACGAAAGUGUGACAGGGCUAUCCCGAGUGCCGUCCGCUGAGGAUGGCUUUUACCCAGUCUAGCAAGCUGGGGGAAUAAGGAGAGGGCAAGUCUGGUGUCAGCCGCCGCGGUAAUACCAGCUCUCCGAGUGGUGGGGACGUUUAUUGGGCCUAAAGCAUCCGUAGCUGGCCGUUCAAGUCCCCUGUUAAACCCAGCGAUUUAAUCGUUGGUCUGCGGGGGAUACUGUUCGGCUAGGGGGCGGGAGAGGCAGACGGUAUUUCCGGGGUAGGGGUGAAAUC
rnacentral:rRNA from 1 species